CUUGCCUCUGUAACCGUGGCUGUGAUAAAUACCAGGCUGAGCCUGAGGUUGACUGUCUCUUGACUCACUCAGUAGCUGCUCAGAAUCUUUUCUACCAGCAAUGCAGAAACCUCCCGGAUGAAUGAGUAAUUAGCAAGGCUCUGUAUUCAGGGGAGCACCUGAGACGGCUCCUCUUUGGACAUACCUUCUUAUUUCAUCAGACAGACCUACCCCAAAGGAAUAAUUGUCCAUAACUCUACACAUCCUGUUGGCAAUGAGGGAAAAGUGAAAAAGGACUCUUGUGUGAGACAGAGUAUGAAAAAUGGAUUAACACACAAAUGGCCUAGACUUGAUAUCUGCCAGAAUGCUACAGUUCUCAGGCUGAUACAUAUAUCUGAGACAAGCCUGUGACCUUCUGAAGUUCCAGAUGGAGGCCUAUGGUGACAACACUUCAUGGAGGAUGUGAUUGACAUUCGUCCUCAAACUUCUCAAGGGUCUGAAGUGUGAUAAGAUGGAGGAAAAUGUCUGUCCCUUGAUCUCUAUGUUUUUUGCCUUCAUCUCAGACCUGCUGAAUCCACAAAAGAGUAAAAACACUUCAUCUUGUCUUCUGUUGCCAUAUCUUUCCUCUGUUCUGCUCUUUAAAGAUUCGAAGAGGAACUUCCAAGUCUAGAAAAAAAGGGUAGAUGGACUAUAUGCCUCUCACUUUGAAUCUCAUAAGAACAUUACCCAGGAUUUCCAAAAGGCCAACAUGUUGAUAAACUAUGUCAAAUGGCUUUGUGAUUGCUUUUUGAACAUUUUAAAUGCUAGGGGCUUCUUUGGUUGGUUCUACUUGCACAUGAAUCAUUUGAUUUGACAUGAAUUCAGUGAUCCUUUCCCAUUUUAUUUUCUAGAAGAGAAGUGUUAAAUAGCCAUUCGGGAGUGACUUUCAAGAAGGGAACAUACAGCAAAGGUCUAUUUUGACUUCACUAUGAGGGCAAGGCUCUGGUGUUACACAAAUCAAUUGUGACAAACCCACUUCUGGCUGUGUAUUUGGAACUGAAUCCUCUUUCCCUUGUAUUUUGUGAUCUCACACUCAUUCUGCUACCAUCUUGGACUUCAACUUCCAUCUGAAUGCCAGCAUUCAUUCACUUCUAUGCACCCAUAAGGAAAACACCAAAGCAUUUGUUUGACCCCUUGCAUUGUCAACUCAUCUACACUCCAUGCUUUGUGCUUUGGGUCAGCUCAACAAAUAGUGUUGACACUGCCCAGAGUUGAGUGGAACAAUCCUUUCCUCCAGAGAGCCAUGGGAGAUCCAGAUCAGGACAAAUGGUGAAUGGCUAUUCUUGGCAUCUGCGUUUUACAUGUGCUUGAGUAAUUUCUCAUUUACCUAUCAGCCCCAAAUACAGCAGAUUUCAUGAAAAAAAAAACAAAAACCA